AUGUGUAGAUCUAGAAUUGUGAAAGGGGGGUGCGAUGGUGAAGUGCAUCAUCACGUCAUCAAAUACAAAAC